GAGAGAUGGAGAGUGAGUGAGAGAGAAAGAAAUAGAUGGAGAGGGGGAGGGAGAUAGGGAAAGGGAGAGAGGGGAUGUAGAAGGGGAAGGAGAGAGACAGGUAAGAGAGGGGGAGGGAGAUAGAGAGAAAAGGAAAAGAAGAGAGAUUGGCAGCUACAGAGAGAGUUCAGUUCUCAGUUCUUUCUGAGUUAGUGUACCUACUUAUACCAUACUACAACACAGAAAGAGAAAGGGAUAGCGAGAGAGAGAGGCAGAGAGAGGUAGAGAGAGAGGUAGAGUGAGGCAGAGAGAGAGGUAGAGAGAGAGGUAGAGAGAGAGGUAGAGAGAGAGAGAGAGAGAAGAGACAUGUGUAUCCCUAGAGAAGGCUGCAUCGCCACGACAACCACUUCCAGGGGAAUCACCAGAAGACCACUGUGUUUGGUGUUGGAGCACCAUCUACUGGUCAGGUCUGGUAGGGCGGGG
rnacentral:lncRNA from 1 species